UUAAUUUAUAUUUAAAAAAUUAUACGUGGAAUACGACCCAGUAUCUCCAAUGGGGAUAUUGUGGAAACUAGAGAGAUGUUUUUGAAAUACGCGUGCAACAGCUAUUACAAAUAUGUGGGUCCAGAGACAGUGGUGUAUCAUUCAAACGGCACAUGGUCAGAUCUGCCCAGCUGCAAAGCUACCUUCUGUUCUGUGGACACUCGUGAAUAUCCUAAAUUACAUCCUGAUGGAGUGAAAUAUGUGAAAGAUGGUGAGAAUGUGUCAAUGGCAUGUGUGGACGACUGGAGGACAGAUCAUUUUUCUGUGGUCCGCUGCACUGAAGGAAUAAUUAGGUUAAGUAAAUGUUGUAGCUGGAUCUCAAUUAAGUUGAACGCUUGCUCAGACACUUUGAUGAAGAGGAGGAUGUUCACUGACUGAAAACAGAUGCCAGCCUGGAAAACUGAAGUUAUGCCUGUGAUGAUACAUAUUUUGUAACAUUAUAUCAUGUCGGCUUUUUCUAAAGCCAAUUUCAGGCUUCUCAUAAAUUCCUACAACAA